rnacentral:lncRNA from 10 species
CUUUAUUGAGGUGUAAUCAAUAUAGGAAAACUGCACAUAUUUAAUGUAUACAAGUUGAUAAAUUUGGACAUAUAUGCAUAUACCCAUGAAACUAUCACCACAAGAAGCGAGUCAUAGCUGCAUAUGGCUAUAGAUGUGAAAUGACAGGGGAGUGCUGAAGAAACUAUUGCUUAUAAACAGAAGGGACUUGCCUUGUCUCAGAUGAGACUUUGGACUUAGACUUUUGGGUAAUGCUGCAAUGAGCUAAGACCUGCGCUGAUGGAAAGACUGAAGUACAGUGACACGAUCUUGGCUCACUGCAACCUCUGCUUCCUGGGUUCGAGCGAUUCUCCGGCCUCAGUCUCCCAAGCAGCUGAAACUACAGAUGCAGAUAAGAAACGUGGGAAGCCACAAGAAAGCCAAGUAGCCUGGGAAAAAGUGGUCAUUGAGCCAUGAGAAAAAAUUAACAUUUGAUCCUGUUGGUGCCACCUGAAGGCAGAGAUGGCUGAGGACCCCCGAGUGUAAGUCCAGAGAGCUCCCCUGCAGCCCCACCCUGACUUUCCAGGAUGAGCCUUCUCUAGGAAGCCACUGCUCAUUCGGAAAGUGAAGAACGCCUGUGUUUCCAACACCAACCCCAGCUCUGCUGACAUCUCAGGAUGGCAGGACCACGCGUGAUGGAAUACCAGGCAGGGGAGACUCAAAUUUAUAAGUUACAUGAGAUAUUUUGAAACAGGCACACAAUGCAUAAUCACAUCAGGGUAAAUGGGGUAUCCAUUAUGUCAAGCAUUUAUCAUUUCUUUGUGUUACAAACAUUCCAGUUAUAUGUUUAGUUAUUUUAAAAUGCACAAUAAGUUGUUGUUGACUGUGGUCACUCCAUUGUGCUAUCAAAUAGUAGAUCUUAUCUUAUUCAUUCUAUCUAACUAUAUUUUUGUAUCCAUUAACCAGCCCCACUUCUCACUUCUCCAGCUUCCAUUCCCAGCCUCUGGUAACCAUCAUUCUACUAUCUAUCUCCAGGAAUUCAAUUGUUUUAAUUUUUAGUCUCCACAAAUCAGUGAGAACACGCAGUUUAUCUUUCUGUGUCUCUCUUAUUUCACUUAACAUAAUAUCCUCCAGCUCCAUCCAUGUUGCUGCAAAUGAUAGAAUCUCAUCUUUUUUUCAAUUGCUGAAUAGUACUCCGAAACAGUGUGUAUUUGGUAAGUGCUGAUAUAUGUAAACACCACUGAAGUCUUCAGCAAAAUCAGAAUAAUGAACAUGUGUCAAUCCCAAAAACUUCUAUCUGUCUUCUUUGUAUUUCAUUUCUCCCAUCCCUCUACCCCCAUCCCCCAUCCCCAGGCAAAACUAAUCUGCUUCCUUUAUUUACUAUUGGUUAGUUUGCAUUUUCUAGAAUUUUGUAUAAAUAGACUCAUAUAGAAUGUACUCUGUUUUGGUCUAGUUUCUUUAAUUUAGCAUAAUUAUUGUGAGAUGCAUCUAUGUUGUUGCAUACAUCUUUUUUUUUUGCUGAGUAGUAAUCUAUUGUAUAAAUGUAACACCAAUUUACUAUUUCAUUGAUAGAUAUUUUAGUUGUUUCCAAGUUUAGUUUAGGUUAUUACUUAAACAUGAAAUUAUGAAUGUUCAUGUUUAAGUCAUUGUGUGAAAACAUGCUUUUAUUAUUUUUGAAUAUAUACCUAGAAGUAAAAUUGUUGGAUCAUAUGGUUAGUAUAUGUUUACUUUUCUGGGAUAAUGUCAAUGUCUUAGUAUAUAUUCUAGAUGUUGUUUUUUCUUGUUACUUUACUUUUUAAUCAAAAUAAUCUGUCAAUAACUUUAGAGAAGUAAAAUUUUCUUCUAGAAUUCCCCAUAAUUUUUGCUUUAUAUUUUACUAUAUUUUUCUGUAUAUAUAUUUGCUACAUUUGCCAAAAUAUGUCUUGUAUAUUGAAGUCAUGUUAGUUACCCACAUGAUCAGAGCAUUAGCAUUAUGUUGUAAUGCUUUGCCAAUUUUUUUCUUUUAUUUGUCCGUAUGUCUGUUUUGCUUGAUAUUAAUAUAACCAACUUUCAUUUACUUUAUAUAUCAUUUCCAUUCUUUGACUUCAAAACUCUCUGACUUUAUGUUUUUGCCUCUUGUAAAG